CUCACUGUUGGCUGACGGAAGCACACAAUGAUUAAUUAGUGAUGGGCCAAUUCUGUAUCAUUGAAUAUGGACUUGCCACUUCCCUGGAUGUUUCAUCUCCUUCAUUCCUUUGACCAGCCAAAAUUUAUUCCAGCAUACUGGGCACUUGCUGUGUUACCAGGAGCAGCAGCCAAAUUAUCAGAUCUGCAAGUGGUAGAAAGCAGCCACCAUGGAAAGAGACGCAGCAGCUGAGAAGAGCUCAGCCGAGCCCUUGGGAGGUGUGUCCACAGAGAAAGGAGUAGGGCCCAGUCCUCCUGACCAAGGGGUGUAGGUUGGGACACUCAGCUGGGCUGAACACCCACCAGCUUCGUUUCUAUAGUUUCUUGCCCGGCAGCGUCUGUGGAGGUGAUGCUGUAAAUACUCCGAGUUGGAUUUUCUUCCUUUAUGGCACUUGCAUUUUAAUAGAAUACUCAUUUUCCUCCCUUUUUUCCGGGAGGCAGCCGGUGUUGUACUACAUGCCUCCAUAAGAGAGUGAAUAACAUGCCAUCAGCUUUACAACAUGACAUUAGUAUAUGCACAAAACCUUCUAGGGAGCAGUGUGUUAAACCAAAAUUGCAUUG